GGGAAGGUAGCUCAAUGGUAGAGCACUUGCCUUGCAUGCAUGAGGCCCUGGGUUCAAUUCCUCAGCACCA
rnacentral:tRNA from 1 species